GAUGAACGCUGGCGGCGUGCCUAACACAUGCAAGUCGAACGAACAGACGAGGAGCUUGCUCCUCUGACGUUAGCGGCGGACGGGUGAGUCACACGUGGAUAACCUACCUAUAAGACUGGGAUAACUUCGGGAAACCGGCGCUAAUACCGGAUAAUAUAUUGAACCGCAUGGUUCAAUAGUGAAAGACGGUUUUGCUGUCACUUAUAGAUGGAUCCGCGCCGCAUUAGCUAGUUGGUAAGGUAACGGGUUACCAAGGCAACGAUGCGUAGCCGACCUGAGAGGGGGAUAGGCCACACUGGAACUGAGACACGGUCCAGGCGCCUACGGGAGGCAGCAGUAGGGAAUCGUCCGCAAUGGGCGAAAGCCUGACGGAGCAAGGCCGCGUGAGUGAUGAAGGUCUUCGGAGCGUAAAACUCUGUUAUUAGGUAAGAACAAAUGUGUAAGGAACUAUGGACGUCGUGACGGUACCUAAUCAGAAAGCCACGGCUAACUACGUG
rnacentral:rRNA from 1 species